rnacentral:lncRNA from 10 species
AAAAACUUUUGCCUCCAAAUACAAGUGGGCAUGUAGGGAGAGAACAGUAAACUAGCUUUUCUUUUCUAGGCAACAUUUGAAACCCAGGAGCCACUGCUUCAGGAAGGUACCUUCAAGCUCCAAGGACUCUUAUCCUCUUUCUCCUUCCCCACUACCUAGUCAUUAGAGUGUCAGCAUCCACUUCUUGAAAGGAAGAUGCCUGUUUUUCACAUAUCCCAGAAAGCCCCAUUUUAGGACAGCAUUUAGCAGAGUAUAUUCAAGAUCCCACUAACCUUUUCGGAAGACAUGAAUUCCAGAUGAUAUAAGGCAAGAAUAAGAAAUUUCAGUGUCAGGGAACAUAAAUCAUAUUUCUGCAUUCAGGAUCACGUUUUCUUGGUACAGGGAUUUCUUCUUCAAGUAAUCCAAAGACAACUUUACUUUCAAACCUUUCAGAAAACCUGUUCUAAUUUACUUUGCUUCAUUCUACAGGCUCCAUCAGGAACUGUUCAGGACCAUGCACUCUGUUGAUACUCACAUGGUGGAAUUAUAUUGCCCUUGGCCAACCCUAAAGCCAUCAAGAUAGCAGGUUUCGAAUAAUUCAUCAGUGAAGUCUUCUCAACCAGGUCAAUCACGAGAACUUAGAAGAUGAUUCCUCCCCAGCUGAUCCUCAGGUGAGACCUCAGCCUUGGCCAUCAUCUACAUCUGGAUUCCUGACUCAGAGAAACUGGAACACUAAAGCCCAUUCUUCCUCUCAAGUAACCAGAAAUAAAGUUGAUCCAAGUAACAAGUGGACAGCAUAAAAGAUUGUAUGGAAACUAUAAUGCAUCUACAUCUGCAGUAACUAA